rnacentral:rRNA from 1 species
AUGCUUAUCAGGUCCAUCUUGCAAAGAUGCCUUAGAUCCAGGAAAGAUGAACAAAGAUUUGGUUUCAUUGCAAGUUUUGGACAACAUUCAAGCUUAUCAGGUCAGUUAGUUUCUUCAUUUAUUAUUAUUUUACUGCAAAAUGCUCAUGUAGUAAGCCCAGGCCUUUUGACCAAGCAGUUGCUAGUACAAAUUAAGAACUUCAAAUCUGGAUGUUUCAUCCCUUUGAGAAGUAUUCAGCUAAAUCAUUUUUAUGGUAUGAUAAAUAUUGGAAGUGCUAUCCCUGUCCAUUUACAUAUAGGACAUGUGCUUGAUAAUGUCUUGAUGGUUUUCUCUGUUUGUUUUUCGUUCAGUAGAAUUUUUUGUUUAGUGGCAAUACAAUGUCAAUUACCUGAAGCGGCACAUUCGGAAUUGUAUUCACUCAAGGUUGAUAUUUUGGAGUAUUAUGUCCAAUGA